rnacentral:rRNA from 1 species
UACGUAGGGCGCAAGCGUUAUCCGGAAUCAUUGGGCGUAAAGCGCGUGUAGGCGGUCCGGUAAGUCCGCUGUGAAAGUCGGGGGCUCAACCCUCGAAAGCCGGUGGAAACUGUCGGGCUAGAGUGCGGAAGAGGCGAGUGGAAUUCCUGGUGUAGCGGUGAAAUGCGCAGAUAUCAGGAAGAACACCCGUGGCGAAAGCGGCUCUCUGGAACGGUACUGACGCUGAGACGCGAAAGCGUGGGGAGCGAACAGG